GUCCACGCGGUAAACGAUGGGUGCUAGGUGUGGGGGGUAUCGACCCCCUCCGUGCCGAAGCUAACGCAUUAAGCACCCCGCCUGGGGAGUACGGCCGCAAGGUUGAAACUCAAAGGAAUUGACGGGGGCCCGCACAAGCGGUGGAGCAUGUGGUUUAAUUCGACGCAACGCGAAGAACCUUACCUGGGCUUGACAUGCAGGGAGUAGGAACCCGAAAGGGGGACGACUCGUCAAAGCGAGAACCUGCACAGGUGGUGCAUGGCUGUCGU
rnacentral:rRNA from 1 species